rnacentral:rRNA from 1 species
AGUGAACGCUGGCGGUAGGCCUAACACAUGCAAGUCGAACGGCAGCACAGUAAGAGCUUGCUCUUACGGGUGGCGAGUGGCGGACGGGUGAGGAAUACAUCGGAAUCUACUUUUUCGUGGGGGAUAACGUAGGGAAACUUACGCUAAUACCGCAUACGACCUACGGGUGAAAGCAGGGGAUCUUCGGACCUUGCGCGAUUGAAUGAGCCGAUGUCGGAUUAGCUAGUUGGCGGGGUAAAGGCCCACCAAGGCGACGAUCCGUAGCUGGUCUGAGAGGAUGAUCAGCCACCCUGGAACUGAGCCCCGGUCCAGCCUCCUACGGGAGGCAGCAGUGGGGAAUAUUGGCCAAUGGGCGAAAGCCUGAUCCAGCCAUACCGCGUGGGUGAAGAAGGCCUUCGGGUUGUAAAGCCCUUUUGUUGGAAAGAAAAGCAGCAGGUUAAUACCCCGCUGUUCUGACGGUACCCAAAGAAUAAGCACCGGCUAACUUCGUG